GACGAACGCUGGCGGCGUGCUUAAUACAUGCAAGUCGACUGAACUUAAGGUAGCAAUAUUUUAAGGGAGGUGGCGCACGGGUGAGUAACACGUAGGUAAUCUGCCUUUAGGACUGACAUAACCCAGAGAAAUCUGGGCUAAUAUCAGAUGAUGCAGCGGCUCGACAUCGAGACAGUUGUUAAACCUUCGGGGCCUAGAGAUGAGCCUGCGUCUGAUUAGGUAGUUGGCGGGGUAAUGGCCCACCAAGCCAUCGAUCAGUAGCUGGUCUGAGAGGAUGAUCAGCCACACUGGAACUGAGACACGGUCCAGACUCCUACGGGAGGCAGCAGUGGGGAAUUUUGCGCAAUGGACGAAAGUCUGAUCCAGCCAUGCCGCGUGAGUGAUGAAGGCCUUAGGGUUGUAAAGCUCUUUUGUCGGGGACGAUAAUGACGGUACCCGAAGAAUAAGCUCCGGCUAACUUCGUGCCAGCAGCCGCGGU
rnacentral:rRNA from 1 species